AGUGAACGCUGGCGGUAGGCCUAACACAUGCAAGUCGAACGGCAGCACAGUAAGAGCUUGCUCUUACGGGUGGCGAGUGGCGGACGGGUGAGGAAUACAUCGGAAUCUACUUUUUCGUGGGGGAUAACGUAGGGAAACUUACGCUAAUACCGCAUACGACCUACGGGUGAAAGCAGGGGAUCUUCGGACCUUGCGCGAUUGAAUGAGCCGAUGUCGGAUUAGCUAGUUAGCGGGGUAAAGGCCCACCAAGGCGACGAUCCGUAGCUGGUCUGAGAGGAUGAUCAGCCACACUGGAACUGAGACACGGUCCAGACCCCUACGGGAGGCAGCAGUGGGGAAUAUUGGACAAUGGGCGCAAGCCUGAUCCAGCCAUACCGCGUGGGUGAAGAAGGCCUUCGGGUUGUAAAGCCCUUUUGUUGGGAAAGAAAAGCAGCAGGUUAAUACCCCGCUGUUCUGACGGUACCCAAAGAAUAAGCACCGGCUAACUUCGU
rnacentral:rRNA from 1 species